AUGGACGGUCUUCUGCAUUGGGACUUUGCCCCCGGAAUAGCCCUUGCAAAUCAGGUGAGGCACAGGUUUGGCACGACAGUCCAUUUUUCCCCUUCCCAAGGAUCUAGGGAAUUCUUUCUGGUGGUCACUUUUUCUUCAGCCUCCUUUCCUCUCUUGGUGGAAUCUGUUGGUAUUGCCUUACAAUGUUGUCUUGGGGGUUUAAGCUCUGGAUUCCAUGUUACCAAGAUCAAGGAUCGUACUUUUCGUUUUUUAGUUGCAAGCAACAAAGUUGGACAUUUCAUUUACAGUUUGAGAGAUCGAGUUUGGCCGGACUUUGUUUGUCACUUUCAUCUUUUUAAUGCUCGUUAUGCUCGAGCUCCGGUCUCAGCUUCUUCCUGGCAUAUGGAUCAAGAAAAUUUGGACAUCUCAUCUUGUUCUGCUGUGGCGAUCAAGUCCAACCUUAGAUCAUCAACGAUGAUUGGUUCACCAGGAACUCAGUCUGCUCAGGUUCUUCGCAAGUUCAACAUUGUCCCAAUUGACAAUAUGGUCUUCUCAAACAAGAAUUCUUGCGAAGCUUCUUCGUCUGGACAAAUGAUUCAUAAUUUAAACUUUGGAUGA
rnacentral:rRNA from 1 species